rnacentral:rRNA from 1 species
GAGCUAGCGGCGGACGGGUGAGUAAUGCUUAGGAAUCUGCCUAUUAGUGGGGGACAACAUUCCGAAAGGAAUGCUAAUACCGCAUACGCCCUACGGGGGAAAGCAGGGGAUCUUCGGACCUUGCGCUAAUAGAUGAGCCUAAGUCAGAUUAGCUAGUUGGUGGGGUAAAGGCCUACCAAGGCGACGAUCUGUAGCGGGUCUGAGAGGAUGAUCCGCCACACUGGGACUGAGACACGGCCCAGACUCCUACGGGAGGCAGCAGUGGGGAAUAUUGGACAAUGGGCGCAAGCCUGAUCCAGCCAUGCCGCGUGUGUGAAGAAGGCCUUUUGGUUGUAAAGCACUUUAAGCGAGGAGGAGGCUACUUGGAUUAAUACUCUAGGAUAGUGGACGUUACUCGCAGAAUAAGCACCGGCUAACUCUGUGCCAGCAGCCGCGGUAAUACAGAGGGUGCGAGCGUUAAUCGGAUUUACUGGGCGUAAAGCGUGCGUAGGCGGCUUCUUAAGUCGGAUGUGAAAUCCCUGAGCUUAACUUAGGAAUUGCAUUCGAUACUGGGAAGCUAGAGUAUGGGAGAGGAUGGUAGAAUUCCAGGUGUAGCGGUGAAAUGCGUAGAGAUCUGGAGGAAUACCGAUG